CUCUACCUACAUGUACAUAUUACCUCAACAAACUGGUGCCCCCACACAUUGACUCUGUACCGGUACCCCCUGUAUAUAGCCUCCACGUUGAUUCUGUACCGGUAUCCCCUGUAUAUAGACUCCACAUUGAGUCUGUACCGGUACCCCCUGUAUAUAGCCUCCACAUUGACUCGGUACCGGUAUCCCCUGUAUAUAGACUCCACAUUGAGUCUGUACCGGUUCCCCCUGUAUAUAGCCUCCACAUUGACUCUGUACCGGUACCCCCUGUAUAUAGCCUCCACAUUGAUUCUGUACCGUAAUACCCUGUAUAUAGCCUCCACAUUGACUCGGUACCGGUAUCCCCUGUAUAUAGACUCCACAUUGAGUCUGUACCGGUACCCCCUGUAUAUAGCCUCCACAUUGACUCGGUACCGGUAUCCCCUGUAUAUAGCCUCCACAUUGACUCUGUACCGGUACCCCCUGUAUAUAGCCUCCACAUUGACUCGGUACCGGUAUCCCCUGUAUAUAGACUCCACAUUGAGUCUGUACCGGUACCCCCUGUAUAUAGUCUCCACAUUGACUCUGUACCGGUACCCCCUGUAUAUAGCCUCCACAUUGACUCUGUACCGGUACCCCCUGUAUAUAGCCUCCACAUUGACUCUGUCCCGUAAUACCCUGUAUAUAGCCUCCACAUUGACUCUGUACCGGUACCCCCUGUAUAUAGCCACCACAUUGACUCUGUACCGGUACCCCCUGUAUAUAGCCUCCACAUUGACUCUGUACCGGUACCCCCUGUAUAUAGCCUCCAUAUUGACUCUGUACCGUAAUACCCUGUAUAUAGCCUCCACAUUGACUCUGUACCGUAAUACCCUGUAUAUAGACUCCACAUUGAGUCUGUACCGGUACCCCCUGUAUAUAGCCUCCACAUUGACUCUGUACCGGUACCCCCUGUAUAUAGCCUCCACAUUGAGUCUGUACCGUAAUACCCUGUAUAUAGACUCCACAUUGACUCUGUACCGGUACCCCCUGUAUAUAGCCUCCACAUUGACUCUGUACCGGUAUCCCCUGUAUAUAGACUCCACAUUGAGUCUGUACCGGUACCCCCUGUAUAUAGCCUCCACAUUGACUCUGUACCGUAAUACCCUGUAUAUAGACUCCACAUUGAGUCUGUACCGGUACCCCCUGUAUAUAGACUCCACAUUGAGUCUGUACCGGUACCCCCUGUAUAUAGCCUCCACAUUGACUCUGUACCGUAAUACCCUGUAUAUAGACUCCACAUUGAGUCUGUACCGUAAUACCCUGUAUAUAUUCUCUUUAUUGUUAUUUUACUGUUGCUCUUUAACUACUUGUUUCUUUUAUUUCUUAUUCUUAUUCGUAGUUUUUAAAUUGUAUUGUUGGUUCAGGGCUGUAAGUAAGCAUUUCACUGUAAGGUCUACACCUGUUGUAUUUGGUGCAUGUGACUAA
rnacentral:lncRNA from 1 species